rnacentral:lncRNA from 1 species
AGUGUAAUCCAAUGUGUUUGUUUUAUUUUGAAAAGAUCCAAGUAAUAUAACAAAUCUGCUCUUGACUUUUUAAGAGUUAGCCUUCAUACAUUUCUACCAACCCUCUGGAGCUCCUGAACUUCAAUAUCCAACAUAUUAUUCGAUUUUUAGACAGAACAUUCCCGCACUAUCCAAUCCCUCAUUAAACAAACAUACACAUACACAUACACAUACUGUAUCUACCACUUUCUUUGUCACAUUAUCAAAUGCAUCAACAAAAAAGGUUUGCAAAUAGUAUUUAUGCUUUUAUGAAAAGUGUUUUCAAAACACCACCUGAUGUUUGGCUUUGGGACGUAGUACUGGAACACAUUCUGACCAAAUAUGUAUAAUAACUCUUAAAGCAGAGAUUCACAUGCAACACUUAAUUGUCCUUCUAGGACGUUUAAUGAAUCACUUAUAUUUUGCAGCAGUUCUUGUUUGCAUCACCAUGGUGCAGUUGUUGUUGUUGUUCUCUAGCUCAGAAUAUAAAAGAAGCAGAAACAAUUGUUAUUUGGCAGGGUUUUCAAUGAAAAAGAAGCCAUAUGCAAAUAUAUUAAACAAUCAUAUUAUCUACAUUGUUAGUAUAUGUGAAAUUAAGGAGCAGUAGCAGUAUAACAAGUAAACAUUUAAAAGUUAACACUGUUUAUAUUUCAAGUUCAUCUGUAGAAAUACUGUUCACUAUGUGUGUGUAUAUUUUUUAUAUAAAGUGCAGGGUAUCUGGAGAAUCAAGUAAGACUGACGUCAUUUCAUUUUCAAUAAUAAAACUUCCUGUGACAGCAUAUAAAACAUUAUGACACCUGAAUCACUUCACAGUUAGAUCUUCAUUAUUAGACAGUUAAACAUUAUUACUUUUUACACAAAUUUGUUCUAAAAGCACUUAUCAGGGUGUGUUAAGUAAGUUCAGUUUCUUGUUAAAUCGUCAUUAAACUCAGAGUUAAAGUCUUCAAUGUAAAAACAUGUCAGUAUUUUCAAAAUCAAACAAACAAAAGAAUAACAGUGUAGCAAUCAAGACAACCCUGGAUGUGAAACCCACACAUUCCUUACAGGAAAGUUUCCUUAUCUGGUCCCAGGAAACAGGAUAUAAAUCUUUCCAGACGUGUUUGCACUUUCAGGUUAAAUAAGUGACCCAACCAUAGGUUGACUAAACCUCUGACUCUUCAGGAUUGGUCAGUUCGGCGAACAGAGACAGAGUUUUUAUUACCUUUCAAACUGACUCCAUUACUGACCAUCUAAAUAAACAUUAACGUCUCAACCCAGAUCUCCCAUUUGAGAUUUAGCGUCUUAAAGUGUGUGAACAUACGGACCCCAGGAUAAGGGGGGACACUGACCUCCAGACCUCGGUCGUAAAACCCUGCUCGACCAUACACUGAUAAAGACUGCAUUCCUUUGGUGAAAGAAUACAAAUGACUGAUCAUGACGUCUUAUGCAUUCAGCAAUGUACUAAUCUGUCUAAUCAUGAAAUUUGUGUUAAAAUGAGAUGUUUCCUGUCUUUCUAUGUGCUUCAGAAGCCAAGUUAUCUUAUCUGACAGAAUAAAUCCUUAUUCUUUAGUUCUUUAGACCAACAGCUUUUCAGACUGUUUCAUGAACUUUUAAGAGUUAAAUUUAUUGACUAUGAAUCCUAAGUUUACUCUAAGUAACAGAAAUAGUUUAGAAAUGUUU